rnacentral:rRNA from 1 species
AGCGCAGGUGGGAAAGUAAGUCAGUCUUAAAAGUUCGGGGCUCAACCCCGUGAUGGGAUUGAAACUACUUUUCUUGAGUGCAGGAGAGGAAAGCGGAAUUCCUAGUGUAGCGGUGAAAUGCGUAGAUAUUAGGAGGAACACCAGCGGCGAAGGCGGCUUUCUGGACUGUAACUGACGCUGAGGCUCGAAAGCGUGGGGAGCGAACA